rnacentral:rRNA from 1 species
AUUGAACGCUGGCGGCAGGCCUAACACAUGCAAGUCGAGCGGUAGAGAGAAGCUUGCUUCUCUUGAGAGCGGCGGACGGGUGAGUAAUGCCUAGGAAUCUGCCUGGUAGUGGGGGAUAACGCUCGGAAACGGACGCUAAUACCGCAUACGUCCUACGGGAGAAAGCAGGGGACCUUCGGGCCUUGCGCUAUCAGAUGAGCCUAGGUCGGAUUAGCUAGUUGGUGAGGUAAUGGCUCACCAAGGCGACGAUCCGUAACUGGUCUGAGAGGAUGAUCAGUCACACUGGAACUGAGACACGGUCCAGACUCCUACGGGAGGCAGCAGUGGGGAAUAUUGGACAAUGGGCGAAAGCCUGAUCCAGCCAUGCCGCGUGUGUGAAGAAGGUCUUCGGAUUGUAAAGCACUUUAAGUUGGGAGGAAGGGUUGUAACCUAAUACGU